ACGCUCGACACCUACGGGGAGGUAGCAGUAGGGAAUCUUCCACAAUGGACGCAAGUCUGAUGGAGCAACGCCGCGUGAGUGAAGAAGGUUUUCGGAUCGUAAAGCUCUGUUGUUGGUGAAAGAAGGAUAGAGGUAGUAACUGGCCUUUAUUUGACGGUAAUCAACCAGAAAGUCACGGCUAACUACGUGCCGGCAGCCGCGGUAAUCUGAGCGGGCUGGCAAGGC
rnacentral:rRNA from 1 species